UACGUAGGGUGCAAGCGUUGUCCGGAAUUAUUGGGCGUAAAGAGCGCGCAGGCGGUCGAAUAAGUCGAAUGUGAAAGCCCCCGGCUUAACUGGGGAGGGUCAUUCGAUACUGCUCGACUUGAAGGCAGGAGAGGGUAGUGGAAUUCCCGGUGUAGUGGUGGAAUGCGUAGAUAUCGGGAGGAACACCAGUGGCGAAGGCGACUACCUGGCCUGUUCUUGACGCUGAGGCGCGAAAGCUGGGGGAGCAAACGGG
rnacentral:rRNA from 1 species